UACGGGGGGGGUAAGCGUUGUUCGGAAUUACUGGGCGUAAAGGGCUCGUAGGCGGCCUACUAAGUCGGACGUGAAAUCCCUCAGCUUAACUGGGGAACUGCGUCCGAUACUGGAUGGCUUGGAUUUGGGAGAGGGAUGCGGAAUUCCAGGUGUAGCGGUGAAAUGCGUAGAUAUCGGAAGGAACAUCAGUGGCGAAAGCGGCUUCCUGGUCCAGCACCGACGUUCAGGCACGAAAGCGUGGGGAGCGAACAGG
rnacentral:rRNA from 1 species